CCUACGGGUGGCUGCAGUGAGGAAUAUUGGUCAAUGGGCGUGAGCCUGAACCAGCCAAGUCGCGUGAAGGAUGAAUGCUCUACGGGUCGUAAACCUCUUUUAUAAAGGAAUAAAGUGUGGCACGUGUCCUGUUUUGUAUGUACUUUAUGAAUAAGGAUCGGCUAACUCCGUGCCAGCAGCCGCGGUAAUACGGAGGAUCCGAGCGUUAUCCGGAUUUAUUGGGUUUAAAGGGUGCGUAGGUGGGCUGUUAAGUCAGCGGUGAAAGUGUGUGGCUCAACCGUAAAAUUGCCGUUGAAACUGGGAGUCUUGAGUAUGUUUGAGGUAGGCGGAAUGCGUGGUGUAGCGGUGAAAUGCUUAGAUAUCACGCAGAACCCCGAUUGCGAAGGCAGCUUGCCAAGCCAUGACUGACGCUGAUGCACGAAAGUGUGGGGAUCAAACAGGAUUAGAUACCCGGGUAGUC
rnacentral:rRNA from 1 species